GUCCUUGGGCAAGUCAUUGAGGUUCUUUCUGAUUCACCUAGAAUUUCAAUUAGAAAUUGCUCCCCACCCACCUCCCCCAGCCAUGCCUUUCUUCCACAAAUAUAAAUUGGACCUAUAGGACCUAGGGAUAAGAAAGGGAACAGAAGCAGGUGAAACCCUGCCAUGAUAGCAUCAUGGCACCCAGCAUCUGAUGAGGGUCCAGAUGUGUUCAUCUGAUGAAUAAAUGCAGACUUCUGCCCCUGAAGAAGGGUUCUUGGUGCUGGAGUCUGACAGUGACCUCGUCAGGGAGGGCAGGGCGUGCUUUUUGAUGAGGCUGUGACUGAGCCAAGAUUGAAGGACAAAGAGGCAGACACUGGCCACGAGGGAUGGAAAGGAUCUCCAGGCAGAGGACAGGGCCAGCUGGAGAGACCCAGCAGCAGGAGGGGACAAAGGUGUGGGAGGAAUCAGAGGAUGGCCACCGGGAAGGGUGACUGCAGAGUUGAGUUUUGCCUUCAGUCUCCUCCGAGCCUCCGAGAUGGUUUUAAAAAGAGAGGAUGGCCAAUCCACAGGCGGCUGGGAGGGCAAAGAGUGAACCUGUCAGCCCCUCAUCUCCCCAUUCAUUUAUCAGAUGAAUGUAACAGUCACCUGGCAAGAGCUUGAAGAUUGGGGACAUGGCAGAGGAUGUUUUGAUGAAGGACAUUUUGAUACACAAAAGGGAUGGGGGAAAAUCUGGAAAGUGAGGUGACAUCUCAGAGUUUGGGCCCAGGGGGGAUAUUACAGUGGGGCCCCUGGGUCCCUUCUGGGGAGCUCAGGGCACUGGGCACCUGGCAUCAGAAGGGGGUCAAGACAGGGGUCCUGAGGAAGAAAGGGAGAGUAUUCUGGUAUCUUUAACACCAAAGGGAUCUUGGUGACUUCAUAAUCAGGGUCGUGGCUAGCCGUUCCUGAAUAUAUUAUGGGUAGAAAAAGGAAAACCUAGUGAUUGUUUGGGGCUUUUACUGAGCCAGUGGUGGGUGCCCUCUAAGCCAAUGGGAGGAGCCUGUUAUCGACAAGGAAAAAUGCAUAUGUCCAUAACUGAACUUCAAUUCAAUAUGUGGCUCAUAAAGACAUUUUCUGUCUAUGCAACCUGACCUUCUACUAUCUUAGGGAAUUAGAUCCAGAUCUGCCUGCCUGUCUGAGCACAGCAGUUAAUUGCAUGGGGUAGACGCUGUCAGACCACAGGCAAAUCGCUUAGGGAUGGUGAAUCCCAGUUUCUGCAUUAUGAGUUGGGAAUAAUGAUAUCUACUUCACUGGGUCAGACGGGAGAAUGUAUGUAGCAUGUUCAGCACGGUGUCUGGUCCUGUGGCAGCAGGUGUUGUUACGGCAAUUAUUCCGUAUGUGUGAUGUAGCUGUAAAGCUUCUAUAGGGCUAGGAAGGCAAUGUAAUCAAUAGCAAGGCGGGCGGUAAGAGACAAUAGGGGGUGGUGGGGAGUGUAGCAAACUGGAGAACCCUUGCCUGUCUAAAGGGGGCAGCAAGUCCUCAGCCUCAGCCAUUGGCUGUGGCACAAGGACUCAGAACAAACGUGGCCUGACCUUCCCAGAAACGCUGGGAAUCCUAGUUUAUGACUUUGGUGUUCAAUUCAAAUAAAAAAAAAAAAAACUCACAAACAAUAACCACCGACAUAGCUAACAACAUUAUGGGACGCACAGAACAGGUCCUGGAGCAGUGCUGGACUGCAGGAAGUUAAAACAAAGUUCCAGAAAGGCCAGCGGUCCUCAGGAGUCCGAUUUGCCCCACAGAGAAGACUCAAAAAGCACCUGAAGGGCCACGAAGGCAGCCCGAAGUCACUGCUCCUCACCCGUUAGGGGACACGGCAGCAUCGUUAAACAUGCGUGCACCAGCCUCCCUCGGGGAGGAUUUUGAGGAGGACAGCUCUCAUUGACCUGCACGUACUGGGGCAGUUGCUCAAUGACGGUCCCAGCGGUUUACACUCCCAGCCCAAGAAGCGAGCUCCUGGGGAACCCGGAGGGUGUUUCUGGAGUUGCUCUAGGAGGCUGCAAUACCGCCGAUGUCCACUGGGGGUCUCUCUCGCACCACUGAUGGCAUCACCACCCCCAGGUCUAGCUGGGGCGGGGUUACUGCUGGGGAAGCAAGGUCAGGCCCAGCCUCUGUGGAAGGAUUGCCGUGCCCUUCACGGUGAUGUGACUGCCUGAAGUUGGAUGCAUCCUGCUCUCGAACAUCUCGGGCACGGUUAGCCCAGGAGACAGCAGCUCGUCCCUGAGUGUGGGGUGGCCUGGCUGGUGCCUAUUUUGGAUGGCCCGUUUGAAAGAGGAUCAGAAAGGAUUUCAUCUGAAAAGGAAUCAAGUGCAAAUCAAGUGCUUUCACUUCCUGAAUUGUUUCCAGCGCACAAGGUUGUUCUGAACGUGGGCCCUGAGUCAUGGGGGAGCCCAGGAUGUCUGCCCACCUGGGGAGCCAGGGGAUCUGACACAGAGGCCAGAGAAGGGGUGCUGUCAGGCCAGAGACUGGCUUAGAAGCAACAUGCUUCUUCCUUGUUCUGGGUUCAGUCAUACAAAUGAGCAGAGGCAGCAGCCUCCGGGCCCAGAGAAACAGUCCACAGAGACAAGAGAGAGAACGCUGGGCUGGGGGACGCGUGUUGCGCCCGUUAAAGCGAUGCCUUCUACGGAGAAGGCCGGGAAGCCUGGACCCUUGGGAGCAGCCGUGUUGGGGCACUGGGCGGGGGAAAGCGGGGGAUGUGUCACAGUGCUUAUUGGUCUGUUUUUGCUCCUCUCCCCUGCCCCCCAUUCCUCCCACUGCCCCCGAGACAAGAUGCUGUUAGGAAAAUAGGGGCUGCUUGGCCCCACCGAACCCUCUCGUCUACCAUCAGGAAAAUGGUGGCUCUCCCAGUAUCGUUAUGGUCCCGCUCAGCCCCCGGGGCUCGGGACAGGGUCUCCCUUCAUCUUCUCGGGUCCUUUUAUGGCAGCUCUGGGUCUCCCAAGGAAUGGCGCUGGAAAGAAGACUUUUGUCUUUUUUGUACUGCUUUUCCUGACUAAAUAUCAUAGUCAUUGCAGAAAAUUUGGCAAACAGAGACACGAGUAAAAAGGAAAUGUACAAGGGGCGCCUGGGUGGUUCAGUCGGUUGAGCAUCCGACUUCAGCUCAGGUCACAAUCUCACAGAUCGUGAGUUUGAGCCCCGCAUCGGGCU